UUUCUUUCUUUAUUAGAGGCUUAGAACAAAAUAGAAGAAGGAAGGUAAAUCUAGGAUGCCACAGUCAUUCACAGAUUUAUUGUGUUGUGAUUCAUAUAGGCUAUUUUGUUUUACAUAAAAUACAGUACCUGAUUACAGCUCACAUGUUAUACUGACUUUUUUUUAAAAAACAUUUUCAGACAUGAAGAAGAACAUCGUCGUCGUGAGGAAGAAAUGAUCAGACACAGAGAACAGGAGGAAUUGAGACGACAGCAAGAAGGCUUUAAACCAAACUAUAUGGAAAAUAUGCGUUUAGCCCAGCACCUGCUGGUAACCAAGGUCCUCCUCCAAUGAUGGGUAUGAAUAUGAACAACAGAGGAACUAUACCUGGCCCACCAAUGGGUCCUGGUCCUGCCAUGGGACCAGAAGGAGCUGCAAAUAUGGGAACUCCAAUGAUGCCAGAUAAUGGAGCAGUGCACAAUGAUAGAUUUUCCCAAGGACCACCCUCCCAGAUGGGCUCUCCCAUGGGGAGUAGAGCAAGUUCUGAGACCCCUCAAGCACCAAUGACUGGUGUGGGUCCCGUGAGUGGUGGUCCUGGUGGCUUUGGUAGAGGCAGUCAAGGGGGCACCUUCGAAGGUCCUAAUAAGCGUCGUAGAUACUAA
rnacentral:lncRNA from 1 species